GCUGGGAUUACAGGCAUGAGCCACUGUGCCUGGCCCAGAAAUCUAUUUUAAAAGGAAGAAGAAAACUGAUGGCAGGACCACUUGAAAAAAUAUUUAUGUGUACUGUAGUAGCCCUUUGUUGUUCUGUCAGGGUUUUGAAUUAGCUAUGUUGAAUGAGAGCUCUCAAUCAGCAAGUAGUGAUUUCAUUUCAACAGAGCAAAAACAAACAUACUGAACUUAGAUUUUAGAAAAAUAGUUUUGCAUAUGAUGGUUCACAGAACCAAUGGUAAUGGUUCACAAUGAUGCUUAAAGGUUCAUCAAGCCCUGCCAAUAAAAUUAGGAACAUUUAAUAUGUUUGUCACAAUAAAUGUUCUAUAUAACAAACCUCUUUAAAGGAAAUGGUGGAAAUUAGUUUCUAACAGCUAUAUCAAAUAUCAAUAAGUACCUUUGCAAAAAACUGAGCUGAUAGUUGAGACUUUUAUUUUAGGAUUGAAAAAAAAAAUCUGUGAGAAUUAAUAUACUUGCUCUACAACUGUAAAUUACAAAGUAAUUUAUUAAAUUUUAUGGUUAAAACAAUUAUGCUUUUAUUUUGCUUAUACCUCUUUUAUUUAAAAAGUAGCUGUAAGAAUAACAGAACUGAAAUUAGGUACUUAAAUAUCUAAAUAUUCCUUGCUGUGGAAAGCAGAAAAGCUCGUAUGCUUUAAGUUACUGUGCCAUUGUGGCAUGAACUAACAUGAGUUGUUGAGUGCUUGCUUAUGUCAAGGGAUUGUUACCUCUUUUUUAUGUGUAAUAUCUCCUGUAGUCCUAUUAUAACCUUGUCGAAAUUAAGAUUCACAUAUAUCCAGUAAAUUGACCAAGGGUACCUAGCUAAAAGUGUUAGAAACAAAAUUUUAAUCCACAUGUAUGGUUUUUUCAUUAUACCCCGCUGUUUCUGAGAGUUGGAGUGGGAGUGGCAGAGACAAGGGGAUGAUCAUGAAGGAGCCAUGGUCUGAUCUCAUCGCUCUUUUUGACGAUUCAUCUAUUCAACAUCAUGAAUGUUACCUUUUUUCAGAUUCUUUAUUUGCUGCUUUUCGUGGACUCUGGACAAAUGCCUAGUUUUUGUUUGUUUGUUUGUUUUGUUUUUUUUUUUGUUUUUUGUCUUUGCCUGUGUUUCUUGUACUCUUUCAGGAUCAUUUUCCUGCCCUAAUGAUGUUGCUAAGGGGAAUGGCAGAGUGCUGGUCCUGUCAUCUUUAUUGCUAACAUCUCCUUUGAUAAAUAUGGUUCUGGCAGGUUUUUAGAAUGUAGAUCAACAAGAUAAGAGUUGUACUAGGCCUUCAUAAGCAGUGAGGACUGGAGAGAUCCCCUACAUUCCUCAGGCCAGAUAUGAAUGGGCUAGUGUUAGCACAUAGUACAAAUUUCUUUUCUAAACAAAAAGGCUAUCUCCUUGUUCCUUCUGUUGGAAUUAAUGAAAAGUUGCUUGUGAAUAACUUUUUCAUGAUCUAUGUAACUGGUAUCUACAGAUUUUGGAAACAGCUUUAGUGGUAGCAUAUUUGAAAUGGACUUGGAUCUAUACAAUAAACAUUUGUAGCGCAUUUAGAAACCAACUUAAGAUGCAGAACUUUUCUCUUUUUUGCCUUUCUCUGGACAUUUCUAAUGAUAUGUCCUUGUCUUCAUGUAAUUCUUAGCUGAGCAUGCAGGUGUUUUUAUUUUUAUAUAAUUAAUAAUUUUAUUACUUAAGAAAUUAUACUUGCACCUUGAGGACACCUUGAAAAUUUGGAAUUCCAGUGUACUCAGACAGGGGAGAUUCAUGAAACAUAGAUAAUGGAAUGAAAUAUGAACUGGCUUUCUAAACUCUGACUGUAGGAUCACAUCCCUGAAUUGUUACGGGUAUGGAGAAAAAUCCCUGAGCUGCCACCACAAAGCCAGUCCUCUCACUUGAUUCCCCAGGAGUGAUCUAAGACUCUCUCCAGUGUUCAGGAUGAAACUGCAGUGAUGAGCCAAUUAAAAAUCAUUAUCUUCCUACUGAAAACACCAGCCUGCUAACUACACCCACAGUAUACAAAUCUGCUGAGACUUUCAAGAAGAAACUUACUGCCUCUUACCUUUAGGGAGUGCUGAAUUAAAUUAUUUUUGGCCACUUAUAAUUCUAAUAUUUUGUUUUAAUUAUUUAUUUUUUUGAGAUAGGGCCUGUGUUGCCCAUACUAGUCUCAAACUCCUGAUCUCAUGCAAUCCUUCUGCCUCAGGCUCCCAAGUAGCUGGGAUUACAGGUGUGCACAAAUCUAAUUUUGUACAUCUCUAGAUUAUAUGAAGAUUGUAUUUUUUAAAUUAUUACAUACCUUAAAAGCCAUGAGAGAAGUGGAGAGUUAUGUUAUUCUACAGUAAUAAAUGGCAGAAAUGAAAU